UGAGAUGUGUAUCUAGUCUUGUGUUAUUGAUGUGUAGAGAAUUUUAGUAAAGCAGUGACGAUUAAAGAUCACUUUCUUCAUUGAGGCCUCAUUAUAUAGUCUGUAGCAAACCGAUACAGAAGAACGACUUGGUAAGAGAGAGAGAGAGAGAGAUGGAGAAAACUUAUAGUAGUGAAGGAGAGGCAGGAGUGGGGAUGCGGAUACAGCAGGAGCAGGCAAUGGUAGAGGUGGAGAAGAAGCAGAUGAAGGUGAUGGUGGCAAUCGACGAGAGCCAAGAGAGCUUCCAUGCUCUCAAGUGGGUUUUCGAUCACCUCUUUUUAUUCUUGCCUUCUUUUUCUUCUUCCGCAGGUGUAGCUGUGGCAGCAGCUGAGGCAGAGGCAACCCAGAAUCAAGAACAUGGCAUGGUUAUCCUCGUCCACGUCCAACAGCCUCUCCACCAUUAUAUCAUCCCUGCGGGUCCAGGACUGACCCACUACCUCAGCCCUCCAUCAGGCUGUGCUGCCACCUCGGCCCUCCAUCAGGCCGUGUUGCCACCUCGGCCCUCCAUCAGACCGUGCUACCAAUCACCUUGGAUGGACCAACCUGUCACCUCGGCUCGGCACAGUCAAGUAAUGCACCCGGAAACAUGCACACAUCCACUCCUACAUUCAAGGGACGUGAUCCCUGAUCAUGGGGGCAGGACUCUAUCCACUACACGUCAUUAGAGGCAUCCACCCCUCUCAUGACUUGCACCUCCGAGAUCAAUGGAGAAUAUUUCCAGAAUAUGCCUUGAAACCUGAAAUAUUCCUAGAAUCACAAUGCCACUCCCCUCAAGGACUCUACACCUAAACUGGACUCUCCAAAAACGCCCCUCCUUCUCUUUCCAUCAGCACCUUAUAAAUACCAAGGUAAGCCUCUAUUAUAGAGGAUCAAUCAAUCACUUUUUUUACUGAAAAAACUCUCUUGAGCAUCUGCUGUGGAAAGAUCUGACUUAGGCAUCAGAGAGUCCCCCGUUGGAUCAGCCCGGCUCUCUCCUGUCUUCUUUUUUGUGCAGGUCGGCAAAGCACCAGGAACUGCAGGGAAGAUCAUUCGAUCAAUUUUUGCCGCAUCAGAUUGAUGUCGUCCGUGGGAAACAGUUACAAAAAGUCACCUUGGCCCAAUGCAAUUAAGGAGUGAGAAGGUCGUUUCUUCUACGACAACAUAAGUAAGAUCCACCCGUGAGUUACCAUUUGGACAUCCCCCUUCACCACCAAUGGCAGAACAGGAGAAUGUCCCAGCAAAGACCCCUCCAUAAGGACCCCAACAAACCAGGCCUGAUGCACAAGUUGCCCAGGGGGAGGGAGAUCAGCGCGAGUAGAACCCUCAGCUAUCUUGUCAUGUAUCAUCAUCCCGGGUAACUCACCCAAGCAUGGAAGAGCAGAUGCAGAGCCUGCAGCUACAGAUGUUAGUGACAAACGCACUGGUACGGUACUUCAUACGUCAGUUCGACUCGGCACUUCUAGUGCCACGAACUAGUUCAACUCAGCUGCCUAGGCCAGUUCCGGGCAGACAACUCAACGAUGAAUCUCCUGACAAUAGUGUCACCCCUCAAUCAACAGCAAGGAGGGUCAGCCAGAACGUCAUGUACUGUUCACUCGGUACCACCUUGCUCUCCUACUGAGGGGCACAUGCAAGGUCCCAUUUCAGCCCAGAAUGGGAGAGCUUGCCGUUCCACACAUCACUAGAGCCUAGAGAUAUAUAAUGUCCAUAGAUCCCCACCCCGGGUAGGAAGACGCCAACAGUCGCCUCAAAGACUCACUAGAGGCGUGCAUCCACACAGAGAUGAACGAGAAAAUUCUCAGAGGAUAGCUCGACGAGAUCAACCCCAUGGGGGUCAGGACUCGCCCACCAGGCCAACCAGAGGUGCACCACGGCAAGGUCAGGAUUGGCCUGGUGGUCACCAAGGUUGAGGAAGAAGCCCCAGAAGAGGUGCACGAUGAUCCCAGGAUCACCAAGCUGAGGUGAGAAGGGAUGACCUGGAGAGCCACAUCCAAUGCCUCACUGAGCAAGUAGAAGGAAUGUAGAGGCAAAGGCACCCAGCCGACAUAACUGUAACUCCGACCCAUAAUGCACUACCCAACGAAUUGAUAAAUGCUGAGCUGCCCUCAAAUUUUGUGAUA